GUUGAGAGCAGACGUCUGAAUAGUGUAAUAGGAGAAUUGAAGUGGAGAUGGGCGAUUCAGAUGGUGAAUGAUUCUAACUCGAGUUACAUGCAGAUUGAUCCGAGUUAUCCACCCGUAUAUACAAAUUUAACGACACCAAAUUCUUCGCAACUAGCUCCUUCGACGAGUGGACUAAGUCUCAGUUCAGCGACGUUGCCCACCCCAUCCACCUUUGAGUAUUCAACACAACCACCAAUACAGCAUCAGAAUUAUCCAAAUAAUUCGAACAUCUGGAGACCACAUAUCACUCCAUACGUGUCGACAUCACACGUUUCAUCGAGCUUGAGUCAUCCCAACGUUUCCCCUAAUUAUCAGGUUCGGCUACGGAAGAACAUCUAUGAGGUACUCACUGUGAGGCCAUUGAAGGAGUGGCUCACUCGCAGUCCGGAAGGAUAUCUUAUUCUUGACGUGUAUGACGAGGACAAGCGACUACCUGACAAUAUUCGCAAGAAAUUGGUCCAGGCAAUUUUCAUACGUGAAUUUGAGGGGAAGAGAAAUUAUGUACGUAUGUAGCACCUGUACGCUUGCUUUCGUUGGCGAAUGAAAUCGAGUGUUUUCCCUAACGAAAAAGCUUGGAUUUAUUAUACUCCACAUGUUACAACGGCGCCUGGAGACUCAGCCCCCGCUAGAGGCAAGCUGGUAACUCACAAUGAUACCCUCAUCAAAAGCCUAGCUGACUUGAGGCAAAAAAGGAAACGCGUCGAUGAGGGCGACUUGGAGGUGCCCAUUACUGGAGGGGCUCUCGAUCCGUAUGUGCUUCGACUCAUUCCAACGCUGUUUACAAAGAGCGGUCCAGUCACUGAACAAGUAGAGGAUCGUAAGCUACCACCUCCGAAACGACAAAAAGUGCAAUCAGGAACUCAGGAGCCAAAAUCCAAAGAAGUGGAAUCCGACUAAAGUUGACGUGAAGAAUGGU